UGUGUGGAAGGGAGGCCGGCUCUGAGCUGUGUCUCUGUAGCUGGGAAGAGACAGCAUUGGGGCGGGGCAGAGGUGACUCUCGGCAAGAAGGUGACGCUCCAGCAGGCUGUGACAAUGGGAAGGCGGAAGGUGGCCUUGGAGUGACACAGGGUGGCUCAGGCAUCAAAGGGGGGAGUGUGGCAGUCGUGACACUGAAUGUGGGGUUUGCCCGGCAGGUUGUGGGGAGCCCCAGGGAGCUUCUGAGCUGAGUCCCCAGCAUCUGCGAGUUCGAUUGUGUGGACGGGGUGAUUCGCUCUCUUCAAGGACUCUGGCCUGGCCUGGUGGCACGCGCUCACUGUCCCGGCUUCCCCGGCGGAGCGUCAAGUCCCUUUCUCUGCCCGCUCUGUGUCCUCCCUUCUUUGCUGUACGCCGGCCUGCGCUGGUCCUGGCCCAGAGGAAGGAGCUGGCCCGCCGCGUGGACGCUGGAAUACAGGAACUCGGCUCUUCCGCAAGUAGCAUCUACGAUGCCAGUCUCAGCAACCUCAUUUAAAAAACUAUUUAUAUGCACAAAAAGUCUAUAAUAGCGUUUUUAUUGUGUGUGCCUGAGAUUUGGGUGCAUUUCCCCCCACGCCU
rnacentral:lncRNA from 1 species